UGUCGAACGCGCGGAUCAGGAGCUUGCUCCUGUGACGCGAGUGGCGGACGGGUGAGUAACACGUAGGCAACCUGCCCAUCAGACUGGGAUAACCACGGGAAACCGUGGCUAAUACCGGAUAAUCCUUUUCCACACAGGUGGGAAAGUUGAAAGGCGGCCUUUUGGCUGUCACUGAUGGAUGGGCCUGCGGCGCAUUAGCUGGUUGGUGGGGUAACGGCCCACCAAGGCGACGAUGCGUAGCCGACCUGAGAGGGUGAUCGGCCACACUGGGACUGAGACACGGCCCAGACUCCUACGGGAGGCAGCAGUAGGGAAUCUUCCGCAAUGGACGAAAGUCUGACGGAGCAACGCCGCGUGAGUGAAGAAGGGUUUCGGCUCGUAAAACUCUGUUGUCAGGGAAGAACGCCGACGGGAGUAACUGCCCGUCGGGUGACGGUACCUGACCAGAAAGCCACGGCUAACUACGUGCCAGCAGCCGCGGUAAUACGUAGGUGGCAAGCGUUAUCCGGAAUUAUUGGGCGUAAAGCGCGCGUAGGCGGUUCGUUAAGUCUGAUGUGAAAGCCCCCGGCUCAACCGGGGAGGGUCAUUGGAAACUGGCGGACUUGAGUGCAGAAGAGGAGAGUGGAAUUCCAUGUGUAGCGGUGAAAUGCGCAGAGAUAUGGAGGAACACCAGUGGCGAAGGCGGCUCUCUGGUCUGCAACUGACGCUGAGGUGCGAAAGCGUGGGGAUCAAACAGGAUUAGAUACCCUGGUAGUCCACGCCGUAAACGAUGAGUGCUAAGUGUUAGGGGGUUUCCGCCC
rnacentral:rRNA from 1 species